GACUGGUCAUUGUUUAUAAGUAGAUCAUUACAAACUUAACAAAGUCAUCUAAACACCAAUCAUGAUCUUGCUUUACUUUUAAAAAAUUUAAAGAAAGAAAACGAGUGAAACAAAGAGGAGCUCAUUACGAAAUUUUGAGAGAGAAAAAAAGAAAAACCAUUUUUAAAGAACAAUUAAAAACAAGACUUGACCUAAUCCCUUUAGGUUUCGCGCUUUGUUAGGUUUCACGCUUUCCUCUGUUUCCAUAAUCUCGAAUCACGUUAUUAUUCAUAGACCAUAUACGAAAAAAAGAAAACUAAAUAGCUAAAGAAAUGGAUCAAACAAUCACAACGAGUUUUUAUUCGUAUGGUCUAAAACCUACAUAGUAUAUAUAAUCCAAGAGAUUCAUAUCGUGCCUAGUUACUCAAGAAACGGUGCAGAUCUACUGAUUAUACACCUUUAGAUGCACACAUACAAACGCAAAGACAUAAGAUUUCUAUGAAGACUUAUGGUUUCAGAAGAUAAAAGAGACGUACUUUUGAGAAGCUUGUUAGAUAUAUAUGGAUCUCUUCUGUCUUAAGUACUACUCAACCUUUUGAUUUGCGUGAUGCGACAAUGGCUAAAAAACAGAGGAGGGUAAGUAUUUGGGUUUGGAGAGAGCAGAAUGGAUUAGAAGAAUAAUAGAUCGAGAGUGGUGCAGAAGCACGAGAGCUUAUGUUAUACACACACAUACACAAUUUUUGUUCACACACAACUUUUUUUUUUAAUUAUAAAAAUUAUAAUGUUCAAAAUUAAAAAUCCGAAUAGGUUAUGAUUUUUAAAUAAGAAACGUCUACCUAAUUAAAAAUAAGUCGAUAAAGUAACAAAACGCCUUUUAUAUCUUCUAUAACUUACUAGCUAAUACAUUUAUACUAGGUGUUCUACCCGCAUGUGCGGGCAUAGUAUUUUUAUAGAUAUUUAUCUGUCUAUAAAUAUUAAAUCAAAAACAACAUAAUAAAUUAUUAAUUAUAUUUUUAAAAAGAUAAACCAAAUAUUAAACUUUAUAUUUUAUAAUAAAAAAUAUUAUUUCAGAUAAAAGCAUAACAUAUUUAAGAAUUAUCUUAUGUUUUAAAAUAUAUUUUAUUUUUGAGAAUUUUAUUAUAUUUACUUGUAGUCAAUUAUCAAAUAUAACAUAAAUAAAAUAUUAUUAAUAUAUAUUCAUUAGUUUUUAUCAAAAGCAUAGGUUUCACGCUUUCCUCUGUUUCCAUAAUCUCGAAUCACGUUAUUAUUCAUAGACCAUAUACGAAAAAAAGAAAACUAAAUAGCUAAAGAAAUGGAUCAAACAAUCACAAGGAGUUUUUAUUCGUAUGGUCUAAAACCUACAUAGUACAUAUAUAUAAUCCAAGAGAUUCAUAUCGUGCCUAGUUACUCAAGAAACGGUGCAGAUCUACUGAUUAUACACCUUUAGAUGCACACACACAAACGCAAAGACAUAAGAUUUCUAUGAAGACUUAUGGUUUCAGAAGAUAAAAGAGA
rnacentral:lncRNA from 1 species